UUCAGCUGUCUGUUUAGAUUGUACGAUAUAUAACGAGCAGGGAACCAUCUUAUGGACCAGCGCGCUUACUAGUGGAUGAGGAAGGCCGUGUAAUGGUUGAUAGUCUCUCACUCCCUAAUCGAGGCUCCACACCUUCCGCUUACUGCUCGCGUUAAGUGUGAAAAGCCCUGACACGUCCAAGACUGAUGGUGGAGAAGUUGUCUUGGGGCUGCGACACCUGCAGGCAACUUUCUACACCCUGUUCCUGGGCCUCGCCGCAGCAGCCUGCACCUUCAUCUUGGAGCAGGUGGCGGGACGAAGUUUUUCCAUCGCCCCCUAAGCUGUAACAACUGUAUGAUGUUACAAAUGUCAGGCACUAUGGCUGCCAAAUGUUUUAAUGGAAGCUUUCUGUUGCUUGCAGUAGGGACGACAGUGUUCGUGAUACACUCCGAUAAUUUAUACAUUUGUUUCAAAAUAUAAUUCAUUACUGUUCA